rnacentral:lncRNA from 1 species
UGCGCCGGCGCGCGCGUGGCCCGGCGCGGGUACUGCGAGGUCGGGGCUGGCUCGGCGCCCGUCUCCGGGCAGGCGCUGCUGCUCGUCCACAUCGUCUGGCUCUUCGUGCUCGGCGCCGCCGUCCUCCUCGGCUUCCUCUGAUGUGCGCGCCCGCUGCACCUCCCUUCCAUCCUGUAGUUGAUUUCUCCACAUUUUACCCAUUUCGCGGUUCCUUUUUCUUUGGUUGGUAUUGGUUCGCUGUUGUGAGCUGAGGGAUUUUGUUGUAACAAUUUGUUGUAACAAUUUGUUGUAAUUCUAGAGGAUUUCGCCUGAGAGAUGUCACACAAUUCUUUGUUAGAUCUGUUUGAUUAGCUUGGGCUCUAGAUUUCGGAGCGGAGCUUUCUGGAUAGGUCUUGAUAUGUAAUUAUAGAUCAUGCUAACAGCUUGUAAAUGCAUGCUAACAUUUGCAAUGAUCAGUUUAUGGUUUUAUGCUACAAAAUGUCUCCAUGAUUUGCCAUUUUUAAUGCGCUAUGCUUGUGUGGUUCAAUGUGUCAUAUCUGGGUUGCUUAAAGCACUUAAGAUCGAAUUAGCUUUGAAAUAUCUUUUCAUUUCUGCCUUACUGUUAUGAUGGAGCUGGCAGUUUCAUCUGUUUAACCAUUGAAGUUAGAAAUAGAAGAACAGUUACGACCAUUACGACAAGCAUUCUAUAUCGGAUCAUUUUCCUGAUGUGAACAUCAGUAUGUUAAUUUCAUCCUUGGGAUUGGGUUCAUGGGACAUGAAAGGAAUUGAACUGAUAUAUCCCUGAUCCGCACUAACAUUGCCUCAUUAUAGUGUUCUUGCUAUAUGCUUUGGUAUGAUUUUGGCAGUUCUGUGAGUCUUGUGUGUUCUGACCUGUGGUGUUGGAUUCAAUGAAUUCUCUCUUUUUUUUUCUAGUGCCAUGUGAGAACUGGAUGUAUGACUAGGACCUGUGAGUCUGGUCAUGUAGUAAGAAGUCCAGUUUUAGAAACAUGUAUUCCUUCCUCUAUUUGAUAUGUAAUGUAUGGUUCUGUUUAUUGAGUAAAAGGCACCAGUUCCCUUGCAUUCCUUGUGCACAAGAGGUGUGAGAAAGAUAGAACCAGAAAUAUUUGUAGGUUAUUUGCAUAUAUGAACUACUAUUUCUCCGGGGAGAGGCAAUAUAUCAUACUCUUCACUGGCCAGAGACCUCCACUACCUUGAUUGCAGACUACAGAGGCUGUGUCCAGAGGAAUUUAUGUGUUGAUUCACAUGCCGAUGCCACUGUCGCAGAUAUGCUGAGGACAGUACUGCCGAUAUGGUCCAGCAACUUAUGAAGGGCAUUUACAAGUUCUUGUUUCUACAGCCGCUUUGAUUCUGUGAAUUUGAACCUGAAUAUUAUGUUAGUAUCUGUUCUCUAUCAGCAACAACUUCUUGUUUCAAAAUAUCCCCUUUAUCUUAUAGUUGUUAGCACCUUCUAUACUGCAACCUUCAUAGGAUGGUGGUAUGGAUUCAGAUUGUAGCGCAGUCGAGGAAAACUGGUAUUGGUAGCAAGCAUUACUAUCUCUUUAGGAGGAAGUUGAGCAUGUAAACAAGGGGAGGGAAAGCAUGACCACUACACGCAGGAGGUGAAGAGUGGAAGCAAGUGUUAUUCUGACUGGUCUCAAGGAUCACCUUAGAAUGAUUCAGCAGUGUAGAAAAAAAAAUCUAUCUUGCAGCACCAGCUAAAGAAAAGUGAUUUUUUUUAGAAAUAACAUUAUUUUAAUAGAAAAUCGUAAGAUUAGAGGUCAUGCAUGAAAAAUCGUAAUUUUAGAGGUCUCCCUAUCGAACUAUGGCAGUUCGACAGACCCUCCACAAGUGCUUGUCGAACACCGCAUCGCUCGACUGAGGAAGUAGGGGGGCCUGUCAACCUUUGGCAGUUCGACAGGCCCCCUCAACGCCAGGUGGUGGGCCCCAUCGAACGGUGGGUGUUCGAUAGGGUCCCCUCUCGAACAGCAGCAGUUCGAUAGGGUCCAAAUCGAAUAUCCACUGUUCGACAGGGUGUUAAAAUUGUGAUUUUCCACAGAUAACCUUUAAUCUUGCGAUUUUCCAUUAAAAUAAUGUUAUUUCUCAAAAAAAUUCAAAGAAAAGCUAUCUUGCAGCUCUGGUGCAUUUUAACUUUUCAUUUCUUUGUACAUAAUUGUUUUUUGACUUCGUGAGUCCUAAUAUUUCCUGUCUCAGGAUUUACUUGUCAUGAUGGAAUGGCAAGCAACUUGGUGUCUCGGUGGACAUUGGAGACUAAUUUGUGGUAAAUCCAGACAUACACAAGCCAAAUGGCAGUGAUAGUUGUGAUGGCAUUAGCUAUUAAAUUUGAGAAGAAUCAACCCCACAGUUGUCUGGAACUGUAGACUAAA